rnacentral:misc_RNA from 1 species
CUGACAUGGAGAUAUGUGACGGUAGUAGGCCAGUCCACGCUGGUGGUCGUACGACGUGGGCCUACUAGGCUAUCUGCUUUCCCGUGCGGGUCGCCAGGCCCGGGCCGGGCACGAUGGCGUCCUCUGCCCGCGUUUUCCGCACGGGAGGAGGAACGGCGCCUGCGCCACGGCCCACACGCCGCCACCACCGCGACACGCUCCCGAUCGACACGCCAACAAACCGCCAGUCCGGGCCAUCCGUGGAGGAAAACGAGCACGACGUCGUCGCGCUCACGCCCCGGGGCCGCUUCCGUUUCGGCUCCCCCUCCCCUCCCCUCCCGUAAACCUCUGAACCCUCAUCGAGUUUCUGUGGACGCCACGCCACGCGACCAUACGUGUAUAGCACGCAGCGCGGCAUCGGCGUCGCACGCACUCGCGCUUGCCGCUGGACGGAGGAGCGGAGCACCGAUCGGCCGGGCUCGGUGCACGCGCCUAGCGGAUGAAGAUGGCCGUGCUCGCGGGCGCGGCCGUCGUUGCGGUGGCGGCGGCGGCGAUGGUCGCCGCGCUCCUGUCCUCCCCGGACGCGCUGCGCGACGUCGCGGUGCUGGAGAUUGGCGGCGGGGAAGGCCGUGUCGAGUUGGUCCCCGUGGACGCCGGCGCCGCGGGGCCCGAGAGCCUGGCGUUCGACCCGGCCGGCGGCGGCCCGUACGCGGGCGUGUCGGACGGCCGCGUCCUCCGGUGGGUCCCCGGCGAGCGGCGCUGGGAAGAGCACUCGGCCUCCUGCGCGCCCGAACUGCUGGACAGCUGCAGGGGCUCCCAGGACCCGGGGCGCGAGCACGAGUGCGGGCGCCCGUUGGGCCUCAAGUUCAACCCCGACACGGGGGAGCUCUACGUGGCCGACGCCUACCACGGCCUGCGCAUGGUCGCGCCGGGCCCGGGCGGCGGCAAGGCGUCGAGGCCGGUGGCGCCGGAGUGGUGGCAGGGCGCGCGCGCCUUCAGCUUCGCCAACGGCGUCGAGGUCGACCCGGGCACCGGCGCCGUCUACUUCACCGAGACGAGCACGAGGUUCCAGAGGCGGGAGUUCCUGCGCAUCGUCGUGUCCGGCGACACGACGGGGCGGCUGCUGCGGUACGACCCGAGGGGCGGCGGUGGGGUGGAGGUGCUGGCCGACGGCCUGGCGUUCCCCAACGGCCUCGCGAUGAGCAGCGACGGCACGCACCUGCUGCUGGCGGAGACCACCACGGGGAGGAUCCUCCGGUACUGGCUCCGCCCGACGGCUCCCAAGGCGCCGGCGCUGCUGGAGGAGGUGGCGCGGCUGCCGUGGUUCCCGGACAACAUCAGGAUGAGCCCCCGGGGCGGCUUCUGGGUGGGGCUCCACGCCAGGAGGGGCAAGCUCGCCCAGUACUGCAUCUCCUACCCCUGGCUCCGGCGCCUGGUGCUGGCGCUGCCGCCGCGCCACGUCCAGCGCGCCUCGUCGCUGCUCAGCCGCCUCGGGCGGCAGGUCAUCGCGCUGCGGCUGAGCGAGGAGGACGGGAGGGUGGUGGAGAUGGCCAGCGUCCACGGGGAUCUUCGGAGGGUGUUCAGGUCCGUCAGCGAAGUGGCGGAGAGGAACGGCAGCAUCUGGAUUGGCUCUGUCAUGUCGCCGUUUCUCGGAGUCUACAAGUUGCAGUAGAGGCAUUUACGCUUAAAUAUGGAUUCAGUAGCUUAUUAUAGCAAAGGAAAACAUACAUCGCAUCUAUAUUUGUGUAUAAAAUUCCUUGUGUCGUCGAUGGACAUGUUCAUCUGGCCAGAGGUUGUGAAAAGCGUCUAUGCAUCUAUGAACUGAAUGCAUGAGAUGGUCCUGGGCCCCAUUCAACUUGUGUGAAGCCUUGAG